CCUACGGGGGGCAGCAGUAGGGAAUUUUGCGCAAUGGGCGAAAGCCUGACGCAGCAACGCCGCGUGAUCGAGACGCCCUUCGGGGUGUAAAGAUCUGUCAGUGGGGACGAAACUUGACGGUACUCACAGAGGAAGCACCGGCUAACUCCGUGCCAGCAGCCGCGGUAAUACGGGGGGUGCAAGCGUUGUCCGGAAGUAGUGGGCGUAAAGAGUUCGUAGGCGGCACGGAAAGUCUGGUGUUAAAGGCAGAGGCUCAACUUCUGUACGGCACUGGAUACUUGCGAGCUAGAAUGCUGUAGAGGUAAAGGGAAGUCCUGGUGUAGCGGUGAAAUGCUUAGAUAUUAGGAGGAACAUCAGUGGCGAAGGCGGUUUACUGGGCCGUAAUUGACGCUGAGGAACGAAAGCCAGGGUAGCAAAUGGGAUUAGAUACCCGAGUAGUC
rnacentral:rRNA from 1 species